AUAACAUUUGCCCGGUUUCGCGCGAGCGAUCCGUAAUUGGCGCUCGGCAAACGGUGUAAUUGCGAUGCGUUGCUUUGAAUCGCGUAAUUGCGUGAAUCAACUGUCGAUUAUCGCCACUUCCGAUCGAUAAGUGUCGAACAGCGGCCGUCUCAAAGGAAUGCGCGGUACGUGAAUCGUGUUAUCUCGAUGGAAUAUCGAGUUUGCUCGAUGAUUAUUCGACGUGGUUCACAAGCGAGUGAAAGAUGAAAGGAAACAUCGUCGCAAUUAAAAUGAAAUGAGCCUUCUUUUUUUUUUUUUAUAAAUUGGUUUCUUUAUUAGUUUACAGUUUAAUAUAAUCGAGUUGAAUUAAUGAGUUUGAUGAAAUUUGAUAUUAAUUAUACCGUAUUCAAUUCGGAAUAAGAGAGAAAAAUAAGCGUGAUCGAAUUUCAUUCACCAGCCCUCUUAGAGUUUCCUUUUCAACAAUUGCUGGGGAUGGCACACUAUUGUAUUGUAAUAUAAUAUCGAAUAAUGAUAUACUAUACACAUACUGUAUAUAAUAAUAUAUAAUGUAUUACGUAUAUAAUCAUGUUCAUUAUGCAACGAUUCUAUUCGUGACAAGGGAAUAAUAAAAGACGAUUCUAAAAAUGGAAUUGGAAAAGAAUAAAAA